rnacentral:snRNA from 1 species
AUACUUACCUGGUAGGGGAGAUACCAUGAUCACGAAGGUGGUUUUCCCAGGGCGAGGCUUAUCCAUUGCACUCCGGAUGUGCUGACCCCUGCGAUUUCCCCAAAUGUGGGAAACUCGACUGCAUAAUUUGUGGUAGUGGGGGACUGCGUUCACGCUCUCCCCUA